CUGGUUCUCCUUUGAGCUCGUCACCACUUCCCCUUCCUUAGAGAUUGCCACUUUUGCGGUGUUCUCGAGCUUCAUCGGCGUAUCUGAUGUCGUUUGCAGGACAUAUGCUAGAGAAGAUCCUUCAUGUUUUUGAACAAUUCCUUGCCUUGUGGUUUCCCAACAACACUCUCAGCCUCCGAUGCAGGUUAGUGAACCCCAUGCUUUUUCCCUCAAUCCAAUGAUUGAAAAGUCUUAGUGAUUGAUUAUACAAUCUCUUUGUGCUCAUUGCAAACUCCUCUUUUAUGAUGAUUCUUUACGUACAUGUACAUGCAUUUAUGUUUUAGGGUGUGAGCUACAUUUGAUUUGAGAUUAACAAGAAGGGUCAGAUUUAUCUGAGGUGUCAACUAUUGAAAUACGGCUUGCCUCAAAUUUACGCUUUUUCAGUA